CUCCUGCAGCGUUACGCUUGGCCUUGUCGGCGUAGUUGCCCAGCUUGUCGCUCCGUGGCGUUGCUGCUCUUUUCCUCCUCAGAAAGCGCCAUGUUCUUUCCUUCAAAGAAACUGUCUGUCCACCUCCGCAUCGUUGAAGCAAGGGCUGUUUUUUCUGCGGCUUCCAUCUCCCAGGCUCGGGCAGUCAGGCUUGCCCUGCUGUGGGGUGCUUGGAGCCACAGUACAGCAUGCUUUGGGGAAACAGAAAACCUUAAACUAUAGAUGAAAUUGAUGCUUUCAAUUGGACUGGACUACGUUUUAACAAAUGAAAACAUUUGGAAACAAGUGGAAUCUGACCAAGAUGUCAUUAGGCACCAGAAGGCAGCAUGAAAUGCCAGGGAAGAAGAUGUUUCAACUCAUAAUGAGGAUCAGGAUACACAGAGAGAAUACAGUUCUUGCCUUAUGAUUAGUGAAGCUGACCUCUGAAGUCCUCACCCUCCCAGAAUUUAUUACCGUGGUCAACAGAGAUCCAGAAGCAGAUGAUCAUCCUUCUGAAGAAUCAUCAGAAGAUUUCAGGGGAAGCUGAAGGGACUGAUCCAAAGACAUGGAAGGCUUCUCUGGAGAAGUUGGCUGAUGUCUUUGAAGAUGAAGGCUGCUGUUAAGAUCUGUGUUUCAUGUUUUUGAAAAGGGAACAGGAGAUUAGAAGCAUCCCUGUGCCCUUGGGGGGUGCCAAGAAAUAUGUGAACAUACCUCUCUCGGAUGCGGCCCUCUUGGACCAUCUUUUCUGCCGAAAUGCUGGAGUCCCAGGAAGCAAGGCAUCCACCCGCACGCGCAUGUGCAGUGAUAUGCUCUAGAGCGGCCGUUGGUGAAGACGGUGCGGAGCAGAGCAACUGGGGGGCGGAGCUGAUGUUUCCAACCGCGGAGAACAGGAUAAGGCAGCCAGAGGGAUCGCAUAUGACAGUAGUGUGCGCCCUCCACUGCCCCCCACCAGCUGCUGCUCAGGGUUCCUUGAUGAAGAUGCUUUGAGAAUUUUAGGUGAGACAAUCUAUGCUGUGUACGACUGUCCCAAGAAAAUCAACCCUGGAUUAUUGCAUACACUGAAGGAUUUGUGGCAUCCUUGACUCCCAGAUAUGAAAUGCUCAUAACUCCACCAGUCAUAGCAACAACUAAGAACCAAAACCAAAAGAUGCUGCCACACUUCGCUGCCCGUGGGUAAGAGGUGGUGUUAUCAGCCCUAUUGAGAAGGGCCUGCUGGCAGGCCCUUGGGUGUUGCCUGGGAUUAUGAGUACUUACUGCUCAAAAUCAGGGGGCAAUGGGGAACCCCUGGCAUCAGCACCAGCCGGGAGUUUAUUACAAAUGCGGAUGUUCACCCCUCAUCCUCUACCUCUGAAUCAGAAGCCGUGUUUUAAUGAGAUUCCCAAUGAGUUACAUGCACAUUAAAGUUUGAGAAGCAUCAUCAUUCUAGAUAGAACAUGGGCUUUGGAGUAAGAAGGUCCAGCACUGAGAUCAAGACUUCACCUCUUACUAGCUGUGUAACAAUUCUAACUGAGGCUCCUAACCUUCCCGAGCCUCAGUUUUCUGGUCUCUAAAAAGACCUAACAAUCUUCCAAAUGGUGUAGGCACAUCACAGGCAUUCAACAAAUGUCAUUUCCCUUC